GAAAAAUAUAAAAAGGAAAAAUCGGAAAUUGCUGCGAGCGAGUUUUUACUCGUAUCAGAGAUCGGCGUGAGGGCUUAAACGAGUCGGGAGACAAAAGAAAACCCCCUUUCGGGAUAGGGGUUCCCCCACCAACAAAACCCUAAAUCUUCGUGAUCUCUGUUCCUUUGAUUCCCCGCCUUCUCAUUUUUCCAGAAUCCACUGCCUUGGGAAGAACUCGUCUCGUUUCGGGAUUUGAAUUGAAGCGCAACGGUGUGCGUUCUGACCAUGGGGAAGAAGAAGAAGAGGGUGUCGUCUAAGGUAUGGUGCUAUUAUUGCGACAGAGAAUUCGACGACGAGAAGAUAUUGGUGCAGCAUCAGAAGGCCAAACACUUCAAGUGCCAUGUCUGUCACAAGAAGCUUUCUACUGCUGGUGGUAUGGUCAUCCACGUUCUUCAGGUUCACAAGGAGUCGGUCACCAAAGUUCCUAAUGCAAAACCAGGCAGAGAAUCGACAGAUAUUGAAAUAUAUGGAAUGCAAGGAAUUCCUCCCGAUGUCUUGGCAGCACACUAUGGCGAGGACGAAGAAGAGUCCUUAUCAAAGGUGGCCAAAGUGGAGAUGCCACCGACUCAGAUGGUUGGAGGUGUGGUGCCCGGAUCGCUGGGCAUUGUAUACCCUCCUCAGCCAGGUUUAGCUGCAAUUCAACCUAUUUAUCCUUCGACUGGACAAGCACAGCCUACUGCCUGGCCGGUUCCACCUCGUCCCCAACCUUGGUUCCCUCCAAAUUCAGCCGUUUCAAUUUCGGCUCCUGCCCCAUUGGGCUAUGCUCAGCAGCCACUAUUUCCUGUGCAGACUGCAAGGCCCUCACUUCCAGUAUCAUCAACUCCUAUGCUCCAGUCUUCACAAAUAACACAUCCUGGAUUGACUUCAACCACACCUUCAGUUUCUGUAUCUCAGCCGUUGUUCCCUGUUGUUAAUAAUAACCACGGACCUACUCAAAGCUCUCCUUUUCCUUCAUCUACACUUUCAACAAGCAUUCCUUUGACCUCAGCAGCAGAUAUCAAGGGCUCAGUGACACAUCUGGGCACUAACUCCUUUUCUACUAUCAGCAAUCAGGUUCCAAAUGUUCCAGGUGGAAUAUUAAGCAAUUCACACUCCUAUGCCUCGGGACCAAAUACGGGUGGUCCUUCUAUCGGACCACCUCCUGUAAUUGCAAAUAAGGCUCCUACUCAGCCAUCAACAAACGAAGUAUAUUUGGUUUGGGAUGAUGAGGCGAUGUCUAUGGAGGAAAGAAGAAUGUCCUUAACCAAGUAUCAGGUGCAUGAUGAAACUAGCCAGGUAAGUUAUACUACAACUUAAAUAUUUGGAGUUGGUUUCAAGUCUCUAACCAUGUGCGGUAGGCUGUACAUGUUUCUGUUUUUGGAUUCUUUGUAGUAUACAUGUCGAAGUAAAUCUGAUUUUUAUUUUAUUUACACUUUAUAGAAUGUAUUUUCUUAGAACCUUGAGCCUGAACUCACUUUUUACCUCGAACUUCAUGAUCAUGUAAAUGCUGUUUUAUUUAACUGACAUUUUCCAGUUUGCACGCCAUACCACCAAUCUUGUGGCAUCAAAAGGCUCAAGUAGGUAUUUAUGUUAUCCCACUUACAGUGUGUAUAAGGCCUUACCUAUUGUUGCAUGAACAUGGUUUAAGACCGUAGUAUAUGCAAUUCUUCCUUUUGGCUUUUUAAUCUAUUAUUUAUGAUUCACUCUCCCUAUGCGCUUGAUGCCUAAGUGUGGGGAUUUGGGUGGAACAAGAUUAUAUACCCUACAGAUUUUUGCUCAUUUUGUAGCAUCAUUACAAUUUAUUUUAUGAUCGAUCAGUGAAUACGGCUUUGACCAGAUGAGUUCAAUUGAUGCAGCCAUAGACAAACGAAUCUUGGAAAGCAGGCUUGCUGGCCGAAUGCCACAUUUUAAUUGAAGGCUCCUCCAUUGGUCUGUGGCAGUUGGUUUCAGAAGAAGCUGUGG